AUUGAACGCUGGCGGCAUGCUUUACACAUGCAAGUCGAACGGCAGCGCGGGCUUCGGCCUGGCGGCGAGUGGCGAACGGGUGAGUAAUACAUCGGAACGUGCCCAGUAGGUGGGGAUAGCGCGUCGAAAGCGGGAUUAAUACCGCAUACGACCUGAUGGUGAAACCGGGGGAUCUUCUGACCUCUCGCUUUUGGUGCGGCCGAUGGCUGGUUAGCUAGUUGGUGGGGUAAAGGCCUACCAAGGCGACGAUCUGUAGCUGGUCUGAGAGGACGACCAGCCACACUGGGACUGAGACAGGGCCCAGACUCCGACGGGAGGCAGCAGUGGGGAAUUUUAGACAAUGGGCGAAAGCCUGAUCCAGCAAUGCCGCGUGUGUGAUGAAGGCCUUCGGGUUGUAAAGCACUUUUGGCGGGAACGAAAAGGACUGUGCCAAUACCACGGUUCGAUGACGGUACCCGCAGAAUAAGCACCGGCUAACUACGUG
rnacentral:rRNA from 1 species